rnacentral:rRNA from 1 species
CCUGAUCCCAUCUCGAACUCAGAAGUGAAACGAGCAUGCGCCAAUGAUAGUGUGAGGUCUCCUC